UACGAAGGGUGCAAGCGUUACUCGGGAUUACUGGGCGUAAAGCGUGCGUAGGUGGUUCGUUAAGUCUGAUGUGAAAGCCCUGGGCUCAACCUGGGAAUGGCAUUGGAUACUGGCGACCUAGAGUGCGGUAGAGGGGUGUGGAAUUCCCGGUGUAGCAGUGAAAUGCGUAGAUAUCGGGAGGAACAUCUGUGGCGAAGGCGACACCCUGGACCAGCACUGACACUGAGGCACGAAAGCGUGGGGAGCAAACAGG
rnacentral:rRNA from 1 species